AUCUUGGUAGCUUAGUUGGUAAAGCACCAGACCAUGAAUUCUAGAUUCCCAGGUUCAAGCCCUGGCCAAUAUA
rnacentral:tRNA from 2 species